UACGAAGGGGGCGAGCGUUGUUCGGAAUUACUGGGCGUAAAGGGCGCGUAGGCGGUCCGACAAGUCGGGGGUGAAAUCCUGCAGCUUAACUGCAGAAGUGCCUUCGAUACUGUCGGUCUUGAGGGAGAUAGGGGUGUGCGGAACUUCCAGUGGAGCGGUGAAAUGCGUUGAUAUUGGAAGGAACGCCGGAGGCGAAAGCGGCGCACUGGAUCUCUUCUGACGCUGAGGCGCGAAAGCUAGGGGAGCAAACGGG
rnacentral:rRNA from 1 species